UACGUAGGCAGCGAGCGUUUGUUCGGAAUUACUGGGCGUAAAGAGUGUGUAGGCGGUGCUCUAAGUUCGGUGUGAAAUCUCCUGGCUCAACUGGGAGGGUGCGCCGGAAACUGGAGUGCUUGAGCGUGGGAGAGGAAAGCGGAAUUCCUGGUGUAGCGGUGAAAUGCGUAGAUAUCAGGAGGAACACCUGUGGUGUAGACGGCUUUCUGGGACCAUAGCUGACGCUGAGACACGAAAGCCGUGGGUAGCAAACAGG
rnacentral:rRNA from 1 species